ensembl:lincRNA
GCGCUCCCCGGCGCCCCCCCGCCCCGAGUCUAACGGUGGCCCCCACCGGCCCUAACACCGAGCGUGCCGCACGGGGGGUGGAAGGCAAGGGGCGCGCCAGGAGCAGGACUUCCCGCCCCCGGGGCCGGCCGGCGACAGAACCGAAAAGCUUCUGGCCGUUGUUACCGCCAGGUGCCGGCCGGCGACCCGUCUGGGGAGCAGCCCUGCCCAUCCAGAAACUGAACUUCAGAAAACUGCCUUGUAGAAAAACAGCAUUUCAGCCACAUUCUCUCAUCAAAUGUGUAUGUGACGCACUCAUCUGUCAGAAAUAUCUCUGAUGGUCGCCAGUGUCUGCAAAUCAGAGGACUCAACAGAUGUCUUUGCUCCGUGGGUAUAAACUUGAGACAUCAGGAAGCUGCAGAUGCAGAACUGGAGGGUAGUGACGUGUUGCUUUCAGAAUACAAAACGAAACUCUAUUUUGAGUCUGAAUUUGAAACACGCGUGUGUGUAUUCUUACUUUCAAGCUCAAGGAUAGACUGUUUAUAACUAGCAUUGAACACAGAGAUUCCUUGGACGCUUUUUGGAACAUUCCUUGUAGCAGUGGAAACCAUUUCGCUGUAGCUCUCUCCUCUUCAUGACGUGCCUCGAAUAAUUCAGACGGCAGAAACGUUGAGAUGGCAAGAGCCUGCCUUUGAGGCUGCAUUUCCUCCCAGUGGCUGAAGUAGCUCACUCAGGUCCUUCAAGGAACUCUCAGUGAAUACAUGACCUCAGGUCUCAGGAGGAGGGACCCUCGGAAAGCUCUGAAUCCUCCCCAGUUGUUAGAGACAUGACUUGCUUUAAAUAGCAGAUGUUUCUGGAAAGUUGGCAAAUAUAGUUUUUGUGAUUGACGUAAUACCUCAAAUUAUGCCAGGGAGGUUUUCUUUAAAUAGAAGAACCUAUUGUGACUCCUCUUGUGAAUAUUAACUCUCUCAUCUCUUUGGAUUAAAAUUAAAUUUUUGUAAAAGGAGGAGGGGCAGGGAUGCAUUUAAACAACCAACAAGUUUGUUGGAUGGAAAUGCCUGCAUUUUUGUGUACAUGUUUAUGAUGAAACUGAUGACCCUCUGGUCACCUUUUCUUUUUUAAUAAUGUCUUAAUUUUUUUAUGUGGGCUAUCUUUUAAAAGUUUUUAUUGAAUUUAUUACAACAUUGCUUCUGUUUUAUGUUUUGAUUUUUUUGGCCUCAAGGCUUGUGGGAUCUUAGCCUCCUGAACAGGGGUCAAACCCACACCCCUUCAUUGUUACGUGAAGUCUUAACCACUGGAUUGGCAGGGAAGUCCCUCAUCACCUCUUCUUAAAAACAAACCCAAACUCACCACACAUACCCACUUACCUGCUUGCAGAGCCACAUCAGGCCCGGGUGCAGACUUGCCCUUAGGUGAACUUUGUGAUGCCUCAUCUCAUGACAUCCUUGUGACACCAAUUUGAAGUGUCUGGUGGCCCCAUUGUACAGAUGUGGAUGUAAGGGCUCUAGCUCGUGUUUGGUGGGGAUCACGCAUAAAAUGCCCCAGUGCCUCAGAGCCUGCGUUCUGAUGAGGAGAAGGACCACAGAUCAGUAAAGGAGCAGGUCCACACUGGUGACAGUGCUCAAGGUUUUACAGCUGCUAAGGGGAGAAUUAGGAACUUUGUCCCAUCAUCCCCCCCUUCCGAGGUGAAGGAAUCGUAGGGAAGUGGUCCCUGCCCAUAGGGACCUUGUGACCCAGUUGGGGGCGGAUUUAGCAGAGCUGAUGUUGUGUCAGAAUGGGGGCUGCUGGGAAGAUGAGUCAGUGCCGAAUGGAGUUGUGGGAGGAGAGAUUGCUGUGUGCUGGGAAAUUUGGAAAAGGAUCAAAAUAAGAGAUCGGGUUUGAGCCAAGCCUUAAGUUGCUCUCUCCUUGCCCAAUUUUUCUUGGAAAUACUUGGAAAUGAAAUUCUGUUGUCUUGCUGCCCAGUUCUUUGGUGGAGACUUCUUUUUUUUAAAUGA